CCCCUAGAUGUUCUGGGCCGCACGCGCGCUACACUGAACAGUUCAACAAGUCUUAACCUUGGCCGAUAGGUCUGGGUAAUCUUUGAACGCUGUUCGUGAUUGGGAUAGACCUUUGCAAUUAUGGGUCUUCAACGAGGAAUUCCUAGUAAACGCAAGUCAUCAGCUUGCAUUGAUUACGUCCCUGCCCUUUGUACACACCGCCCGUCGCACCUACCGAUUGAAUGGUCCGGUGAAAUCUCGGGACGGCGGCUUGGUCGCUUGCGUCCGACUGCUGAAACUUGAUUAAACCAUAUCAUUUAGAGGGAGGUGAANUCGUANCA
rnacentral:rRNA from 1 species